AUUGAACGCUGACGGCAUGCCUUACACAUGCAAGUCGAACGGCAGCAUAGGAGCUUGCUCCUGAUGGCGAGUGGCGAACGGGUGAGUAAUAUAUCGGAACGUGCCCUAGAGUGGGGGAUAACUAGUCGAAAGACUAGCUAAUACCGCAUACGAUCUACGGAUGAAAGUGGGGGAUCGCAAGACCUCAUGCCCCUGGAGCGGCCGAUAUCUGAUUAGCUAGUUGGGGGGGUAAAAGCUCACCAAGGCGACGAUCAGUAGCUGGUCUGAGAGGACGACCAGCCACACUGGGACUGAGACACGGCCCAGACUCCUACGGGAGGCAGCAGUGGGGAAUUUUGGACAAUGGGGGCAACCCUGAUCCAGCAAUGCCGCGUGAGUGGAGAAGGCCUUCGGGUUGUAAAGCUCUUUUGUCAGGGAAGAAACGGUUCUGGAUAAUACCUGGGACUAAUGACGGUACCUGAAGAAUAAGCACCGGCUAACUACGUGCCAGCAGCCGCCGUAA
rnacentral:rRNA from 1 species